ensembl:lncRNA
GUGGGGUAGAUUGUCUCAAAGUUUCCUUUCAGUUCUAGAAUUAUGAGGUUUUAGGUACUUCUUGGGUUAUUUUAAGCUAAAGUUAAAUGUUGACAUGGUGUAAGCUUCUAAUAUUUUUCUUCUGAUGAACUCAAGUAGCCUAUUCUAAAUUGUAAUAUUUAUCUUAAAUUGCUUAAACUCCUUCAAUCUAACAAACUAGUAUUUCUUAUUCAGCAAACAGUUGCUGAAUGUUUUCCAUGUGCCAGGUACUGUACAAAGGCCUAGAGUAACAGAGAUAAGUGAGACGUUUAAUUACUGUCCACAAGUAAUGACAUUGCAAUGUGCUAAGUGCCCCAAGAGAGGAAUGAAUGAAGUGCCGUUGUUGUUCAAAGGAGAGGUUGAUUUAUUCUGCUUUGGGGGGAGCCAGGACAGCUGAGAAGGAAGUGGCAUUUGAAGGGGUCUUGGAAGAUGUGUUUGCCAGGUGGAAGAUGGUGCUGAGGAGGCACUUACUAGCACCAGGCACUGUAGCAAGCAAUGGAGGUUAAAACAUGAAGAGACACUGUCCCAGCCCUCUCGGAGCUCACGUUCCAGCAGGAGGAAGCUGCACAGAUGUUGAAACGACUACUACAGGAUGAGAUGUUAAACUGGAAAGAAAACUUACAGACCUACAGGAACACAAGGACAGUAACAUCUUUGUAUUCUCACAACCCAGAGAUGUAAAAUGUGUGUGUAAGAUGGAGAUAGAGCUUCUGCAUUUUCAAAAUGCUCAGAUGCCUGCAUGUGAAAGGCAGAGAGGAGAACCGGGACUCUCAGAGGAGAUGAAUUUUGACUCCAGACUGACUGGAACCAUCAGGAACUGGUGACUUGUGACCACAGCUCGUCCCGAGCAGACUCACUGCUGCCUCUGUGGUGAGCCUAUUUUCAAAGCCCCACAGUGGCCCCUUGUAAACUUUUCUCUUUUCCCUCAAGCCCUGACCCCUCCAGUCCACUUGAGCUCCCACUGUGUGGAGACAAAAGGCCACCUAUUCUGUAGCAUCCCCCUCAAAACACCUCUAUUUUCAGCCCUUCUUCCUCCCUAUUUUAAUGAGCAGGUUUUCUGGAUUUUUCCCGAGGUCAGUUUCCCUGCUUGUGUGCUUGGCCCCAUCCUUUCCACCCCCCCAGGACCUUACUCAUUUGGUGAAAAUACAACUUUUUAGAAAUAAAUAUGUAACGUUCUCUGCACUUAAUAUUUUAUGGUAAUUAGGCUUUUUAAUCCCAAUGUCUGCUAUGCUAGGCUGACAGGAUUUUUAUGUAAACUAGCUGAUUUAUAUAUAUGUAAGUCCUAUAUAUGUAUAUGAAAAUUACAUUGGUAUGUUUAGACUAGUACAGCAGUGAGGAUGACAGAGAGAAAAGCAGGCGUAUGAAAAUGCAGAACAAUAGAUUAAACUGUGAAGCCUUUGUAGGUGGACAGCCUGAGCAUGCUUUGCUAAUUGUUUUGAAUCCUCAAUACCCUGUAGUGCAGAAAGGGUGGGGCAAGGGGCCCAGAAUCACACAUGUAUCAUGCCUUAAAGGCAAGCUGCAGACAAAAGCUGUGUUGAUGCCAUUACUAGAACUCCUCCCUGCCAUGUCCCCUACCCCCACUGCUGGGCCCCCUAACUUGUUUAUUUCUAUUGAAGUAUAACAUACAUUAAAUAAUUUUCCCCUUUUAAAUGCACAGUUUGAUAAGUUUUAAAAUAUGCAUACUUCUAUGUGACCACCAGCACAAUCAAGAUACAGUUUUGAUUUCAUCACCCAAAAAGUCCUCUCUUGCUCCUUUGCAUUCAAGGUCUGCUCCUCCCAAUCCCAGGAAUCCAUCAGGUUGUUGUCUCUGAGCAUUAUGGACUGCGUGUUCAUGUCGCCCCAAUUAAUAUGUUGAAACCCUAACUCCCAACAGAGUGGUAUUAGGAGAUGGGGCUUUUGGGAGAUAAUUAGGUCAUGAGGAUGGGGCCCCCAUGAUGGAGAUUAGUGCCCUUAUAAGAAGAGGAAGACAGCUAGCUCUCUGCUGUCUCGGCCAUGUGAGGAUACAGCAAGAUGUCCUCUGCCAGCCAGGAAGAGAGCCCUCAGCAGAUAUUAGAUCUGCCCGUGCCUUGAUCUUGGACUUUCUAGCCUCCAGAACUGUGAGAAACAAAUGUUUACUGAUUAAGCCACCCAGUCUAUGGUAUUUUUUUGUUAUAGCAUCCCAAGCAGACUAAGACGCUUAGUAUAGACCAGUUUUGCCUGUUCUAGUAUAGAUUCACAAAUUAGUUUUGACUGUUUAUACAAAUGGUACAUUCGAUAUAAACUCUUUAUUGUCUGGAUUCUUUUCCUCAACCUAAUAUUUUAAAAAUUCUUCUAUGUUAUUACAUGUAUCAGUGUUUCUUCCUUUUUAUUUGUUAGUGGUAUUUUAUUGUAUAAAUACACCACAAUCUGUCACAUU